AAUUGGCAAUCGUGGUUAUAAGAAUUAAUUGUGAUACAUUCCUAUCAAGUGGAUUCUAUAACCUUAAUUUAUGCAAUACUUUUUACUUUUAAAUAUUCUAUAUUGUAAUUUAAAUACAUAAAUAUGAACGAAUGAACGAUUUAUACCUUUGAUGAUAGAAAAGGAGCUCUCGAAUAGUAGUCGAAAAAUGUCCUCUUAAGCUUGGCUUUGCUCGCCGAUUACGUAUCAGUGGGGUGUCUCUAUCGAUUUCGAUCAGUUAUGAAUAUUAUUGGAUUCAUCGAUAAUACUUCGUGUUGCUUCUGGAUCACGAGACGACUGUCCCUCUUAGUCGAUUAUGGAUCGCAACUGAAUGAUGGAACGCUUUGGUUUGAUGAACGAGGUUAGAUUCAGCUAUACGAAUGAAAGAAAGUAAAUAUUGUGAUGGAAAAUUGAUUUAAGAAUAUUUUAUGCUGCACAAAACUUGUUUAUUUAAGCAAAUGAAAAAGGGAAAAAAUGUUACUUAAAUCCACAGAUUUA